UUGGCGUGCUGGCCUGCGUGCAAAAUAACCGAGUUUUUUAGCCGCUCAUCCGACGCGUAUUUUGUUAAUUUAAUUAAACAAAAACGUUUUGUUUGUGUUUUUUCCAUUUGUUGCUGGCCAAAUGGUUUUUGCCCCGUCGCCGAGCACAAAAUGAAAUUGGAAUCGCGCUCGUGCACAACUUUGAAUAUGUUGAGCUCUCUCAAACGGUCGCUGCCGCCGAUAUUUCUGCUGUUUCUGUCGAUUUUUGCCCGUCUGCUGCGACAUUUGCGCUUUUUGCGGCAUCUUGUUUUCCCUCCGAUUGCUGUACAAGUUGUAUCUGCCGUUUAAUGACUUGCGCCGUUAAGUUUUAAUUGAAAUAUCACACACUUGACCACUGGAAAUUGCCAUUGUAAUUGUCAGCCGGGGUUUCGUUGGGCUUUAUGGUUUUUUUGGGGCUUAAGUAGGAGCGCAUUGGAAACUGAACCUGGAUUAUCUGGGAGACUCCCGUCAGCUAGGUCAAUUUGAAUUUUUCAUUGCCUGCCUCAUCAGCCAAAGAGAAAUCUGGAAAAGAAAGGGGUUUUAUAGCAAAAUUCACCUUAAUUUAGAACUCGCAUGUUUAUCGGCCAACACUGAGAAAGUUUUAAAACUUCCGCACGUGACUUCCGCGAAUGUAGUAUUGUCGAUCGCCCUGAUGAUCCCAGUGGCAAUUGAUGAGGCUCUUGGCCAACUCGGCUGUCAGCAUGAAGAGUUAACGAUUGCAGCGGUAAUUGGAGCCAAGUCAGUCCGUCGAGGCGUAGGCGAUUAAAAGGCGAUUAUUUCAAUUGUGGCCCGAGAAAUAAUGAUGCCAGUGGAUAGAUGGAUGGAAGAUGCUGCCCAGUUAUUUAUGGCGGACACUUCGCGCGGACUCUUGCCGGGACACCAUUUUGGGACCUGGCCAUUUUGGUGACCAGCGCUGCCCGACUAUGGAAAAUUCUAUAAUUGUGCAGGUGACAACGCGAGUGGCACGCGCUGCUGACGCUGAUUAGAGGCAGUUGCACCUGCAGCUGCACUCGCCGCAGUUGCAGAUACUUCAUCUCGAGUCACGCUCGUUUGUCCGCUGGCAUAUGACCAUAAAGAUAUUAUUAAUUAUGACAAUAUUGGAGUAAAAGUGUUCGCUCCGGGGUACGACACGGAAAAGGAGUGCGGCGACACUCCCUCGAGGAUAUUACAUUCUGUUUCUGAACUAGAUCUUCGAGUAGACUUCCAUUCAAGACCUUACUGUGGUAAGCAAAUAGAUAAAAUGCUAAGGUUCUGCGUUCCAUCGAUAUUUAUUUUUAAAGUUUUUUAAAAUACUGCAUUCCUUGAUUUAAUUUAAAAGCCUUGUGUGGUUUUACCGAUACUUUGUAAUAUAUUUGUUUUAAGAUA